ACGGAGGGUGCAAGCGUUAUCCGGAUUCACUGGGUUUAAAGGGUGCGUAGGCGGGCAGGUAAGUCCGUGGUGAAAUCUCCGAGCUUAACUCGGAAACUGCCAUGGAUACUAUUUGUCUUGAAUACUGUGGAGGUGAGCGGAAUAUGUCAUGUAGCGGUGAAAUGCUUAGAUAUGACAUAGAACACCAAUUGCGAAGGCAGCUCACUGCGCAGUGAUUGACGCUGAGGCACGAAAGCGUGGGGAUCAAACAGGA
rnacentral:rRNA from 1 species